UAGGGAAUCUUCCGCAAUGGGCGAAAGCCUGACGGAGCAACGCCGCGUGAGUGAUGAAGGUCUUCGGAUCGUAAAACUCUGUUAUUAGGGAAGAACAAAUGUGUAAGUAACUAUGCACGUCUUGACGGUACCUAAUCAGAAAGCCACGGCUAACUACGUGCCAGCAGCCGCGGUAAUACGUAGGUGGCAAGCGUUAUCCGGAAUUAUUGGGCGUAAAGCGCGCGUAGGCGGUUUUUUAAGUCUGAUGUGAAAGCCCACGGCUCAACCGGGGAGGGUCAUUGGAAACUGGUUGACUUGAGUGCAGAAGGGGAGAGUGGAAUUCCAUGUGUAGCGGUGAAAUGCGUAGAUAUAUGGAGGAACACCGGUGGCGAAAGCGGCUCUCUGGUCUGUAACUGACGCUGAGGCUCGAAAGCGUGGGGAGCGAACAGG
rnacentral:rRNA from 1 species